rnacentral:tRNA from 1 species
GGGCAGGUAGGCGGGAACGGGCAGCCCUGCUUGGGCCAGGGCGUGGAGCAGGAUCCCGAUCUUCUCGCGCCGGUCCC